CUUGGAUGGAGAGUUGUCUCAUUGGCACUCAUACCACAUCUUCCUAUAUAUAUUGAUACAUCUAUGUCAUCUCUGCUAUCGUUCACUAAAAUAUCGUCAUUGAGCUUCAUGGACCAGCAAUAGGUUGUAAUAUAGGUUGGAUUGGUCGGUCCGACAUCUCUGCUUGAUCAGGAUUCGUUACUUUGCUCCCUCUGCCUCUACAUCAACUCCUACCACCAUGCCCACGUGUUCUGGUAGAUUUUGGUGGCAUGACUGUAUUGUUUCCGAGAAAUCUACGAUUUAAUCAGAAAUAGAAGGAAUUGAACUGUAUUGAUAUGGAACACGAUGUUGACGUUAUUGCUGAGAACGUAGUAAGAUCGCGCUAUGAACGUAGUAUAAUCGUGGUAAGAACGUG
rnacentral:lncRNA from 1 species